rnacentral:rRNA from 3 species
GGAUCAGGUAGGAAUACCCGCUGAACUUAAGCAUAUCAAUAAGCCGGAGGAA